UCUAACGUACAGAAUUUAUAACAGACAAGAAGAUGCCUUGUCUUGAGCGAGAGGCCAAUAGUGAAGACUCGUGCCUCCUCCUUGUCCGUUGAGUUGAAAAAACAGAGCAAAGCCACAAGUUUUCGUUUUCUGCAGGUGUGGUUUUCAUCAGCUGUGAAGAAAGAAUCAGGCAGCAAAAACGACAACGUCAAGCUCUCCCCUUAUCAACAUUGUCAUCAAGUCUGUUUUAUGGAAGUUCAACAAAGUCAAGGGUGUACCAUUACUGUAAGAGGAGCCACUUACAUACUGAAACUAUAAUGGUUUCUCUGCGUUAUCACCCUUCUUGGUUCAGUGUGGCACCAAUGAUGGAUUGGACAGAUAAUCACUUUAGGACUUUAGCACGGCUCAUCUCAAAACAUGCAUGGUUAUACACAGAAAUGAUUGCUGCAGAGACAAUUGUCUUUCAGAAAGGAGAUUUGAACCGAUUCUUGGCAUAUGGUCCAGAGCAACAUCCAAUAGUACUUCAGAUUGGGGGAAGUAAUUUGGAUAACCUCGCAAAAGCAACUCAACUUGCAGAUCCCUAUGGCUACGAUGAAAUCAAUUUCAAUUGUGGUUGUCCUAGCCCAAGGGUAGCUGGACAUGGCUGUUUUGGCGUGCGUCUUAUGCUGGAUCCAAAGGGAAGUUUGUUGCUGAGGCCAUGUCAGUUAUAGCUGCAAACACUGAUGUACCUGUGAGUGUCAAAUGCCGAAUCGGUGUUGAUGACCAUGACUCAUAUUAUGAGCUCUGUGAUUUCAUAUACAAGGUUUCAUCGCAAUCACCUACUAGGCAUUUCAUUAUACACUCCCGAAAAGCAUUACUUAAUGGACUCACCCCAGCUGAAAAUAGGAAAAUUCCUCCCCUGAAAUACGAAUACUAUUAUGCUUUGUUGCGUGAUUUUCCCGAUCUACAGUUUACAAUAAAUGGAGGUAUACAAACCAUAGAUGAAGUAAGUUUGAAGUAUUAUCUAAUUGUAUGCAUUGGUGAUGAUAAGAUUAAAAUUUGUUUGGGUUGUGUUUUUGCAAAUUCAAUUGAUUAUGCUCUGGUUUGCAGUCAUUUGGAAAGUUUCCAAGAUGGAAACUUUUCAAAAUAUCCUCUCCAUCUACCUUCUUGUCACACAAAGACAGUAUUAAAAAAUGUAAUGCUAAGGGAGGAAUCAUGGGUAUGAAUUGAUUGUGUAUGCGUACUAGAUGACUAAGGACACAGGAAAUGAGCAGUGUUAACAAAAAUACUCAAAUGAACGAUUUGGGGACUGAUGGAUAUUCAGAACUGGUUUUUAGGGACUUUGGAUGGCUCUAAUGGUGAGCUCAAGGAAAAGUGCUUGGAUGUUGCUCAGAAUAGGAAGAGGACUCUGCUUUAAGCAUCACUACAAACUGACAUGACCGUUAACGUCCUUUUUUUUUUAUGUUUCCUGAAAACGUUUUUGCUCAUACGAGGGCUACUGGAGGGAAAGGGGGACUCGACCCUGUCCCUACUAGCUUGGCAUUAUUGUAAGAUAUAUGGUUUAUGGUUUAGCUGGAAUUGCUCUAUCAAUUCAAAAGUAGAAAAAACUUGCUGGAGAUACUUGAAAUCUAAUGAGUUUAGUAUAGAAGUCUGCAUGGCCAGAGGCAAGGCAUGUCAAAAUGAAAGGUCAAAAGUAGCACGGUUGACCAAGAGUUACAUGUGAUGUGGGAGGUAGAUUUGAUAGGAUUUUUGGUAUCUUUAAUAGGGAGGUUAGGAAAUACUGGAAUACUUGAAAUGGUCAUGGGGAAAUGGUUAAAAUGAGCAGGAAGGCUGACUUAUGACUCUGGAGGUUUUGGAUUAGAUUUGCCCAUUUGAUUUGUCUGUACCAUUAUCUAAAGUAGAUGAUGCAUUCCAUGGAAAUAGCAUUUUUAAAUAAAAUUAGUCUUCGUUUUACUUUUCUUUUUGAAGAUUGGUGGAUCUGUUGUUCACAAAGCUUUUUCUUAGAUUGGCGGGUCCCCCAUACUGGGUAUGGUUGCCAAUAAACAGCAAAGAGCAACUGUUUAUAUCAAAACCACAGUACUCCUCUUCAUCUGGGCAUAAGCGAUGGUCCAAAUCCUUGAGAGAUUGUUUCCAGGGCAUCUCUGUUUGGAAUGGAUCUCAAUUGGCAUUCUACACUAAACUGAUGCAAGGAAGACAGGAUUCAAAUUUUCCAACUGUUAGAAUAAAAAUUUGGUACUGGAGGGUUUUUUUUUUUAUUAUUUUAAAUAAUCAUUAUAGUUUGGGCAGAUAGAUUAAUGUAUGUUCUGAGAGAGUUGGACAUACUCACAACUUAUUCUUGCUUAAAAGCUAGUGAAGAUAGUCAGAUUGUGACACGUGUUCACCAGGUGCCAAUUACACUGGCAGGGUUAGAGAUGGGUGAUACGACUUCCACUACAGAUUGUAUACAAAAAAUAAUUACCAAAGUAUUUAGCCAGCUCAAUUCCUUGUCUGCUCUCAACUUUUGUAUUUACAUUACUUCGGAUAAAAUUAGCAGACUCGAUACAGUGAAUCCAUUUUUUAGGAAGCCUUGUUCAAAUCAUUAUGGAAAUGUAACUUCGCCCACUUUCAAGUCCAUUUAACUGUCUUAGAAAGUUUAGCAAGUUUUGUCGCUAUUAUCCAUAUCUACCUCCUAGGACACCCACAUUAAUAUUGGGGAACUUUUUGGUUACAGAAAAUGCAUGACCAAAUGUGGAUAUUAUAAGAUCAGAUGAAUAUUAGAAAAGAAGGGGAAGUUGAGUCCCAAAUUAAUACUGUGAUUUGGCAAGAUGAUAACAUGGAGCUGAUCUAGAAUAUCAUUUGCAAGUCUGUUUUGUUUGUUUUAAGCUGGCUUUAUGCCUGGGUUAAGGUAGUGACUUUGUUCAAAACGUUUGGCUCAUAGUUUCUGCAUUUGGAAUUGCAUCUUGAGGCUUUUGUAGCCUAGGCUAACUGUAAAGUGAGGUAAUGACAACCAUGUGCUGUCAUAUCUUGGUCUCCAACUUUUAUAGUGAGAUUAAAUAUUCUAGUCUCCAAAUCUAUUUGACCCAAAAAACUGUGCCAUCCAAGCACUUUUAGGCAGCUUAUGAAACGAAGAAUAUUCUUCGGAAAUGAACUCCCGCUUGUUUAGGUUUGAAGCCUAUGUUCUGUUCUAUCUUUGAUCAGAUUUCUUCUUCUCUGCACUCUUAUCUAUUUCUGUGUGUGUGUUUCUGCACACACACAGAGUGACCUGACAGUCAUCUAAUAAUAUCUCUAUCCAACCAAUCUUGCUAUUCCCAAUCACUACAAUUAAGCUUAAAACUCUUAUUCUACCAACAUAAAAUUUCCAUAAAGGUGUAUAUGCUCAAAUACACUAAAUUAGCUACUGAGCUAGCAUAGUUCGGGUGUUGAAGUUAUCGAUCCCAGAUAUUAGUAUAUGGAUAAAUGUCACCGUUGCCAUACACAAAAAAGGUGCCUUUAGCUCGUUUUUAUUGUUUAGCAAAUGUUUGAUACUCUUAAAGAAUCUGGAGUUACUAGUAUUUUGUGUUUAUUCUGUCUUUGCAAAUGAUAGAUUAUGAAGUCAUGGUUCAUGGAAAUUUCAUUGAGGCCACAUCAGGUGAUUUGGUAAAAUAUGAUAGCAAUGAAACGAAUAACAUUGACAACAAUCGACUAGAACUUAACAGCCUUUUCAUUACGAAUGGUGACGAUAUACUUCUAUUGAAAUUUUGCCUAGGUAAAUGCAGCAAGAACAGAAGGUGCUCAUGGUGUUAUGCUUGGACGUGCAGCCUAUAGCAAUCCAUGGCAAACAUUGGGACAUGUAGACAGUUUAGUAUAUGGUGCACCUCGAAGUGAUCUAACCAGGCGUCAGGUCCUUGAGCAGUACCAGAUAUAUGGUGAUUCAGUCCUUGGCAAAUAUGGGCAAAAACCAAGUGUUCGGGAUGUUGUUAAGCCUUUGCUUGGUCUUUUUCAUUCUGAGCCUGGAAAUGCCUUAUGGAAACGCAACGUUGACUCUGCUUUUCAACAUUGCACGACUAUAAAAUCCCUUUUGGAGGAGACAUUGGUGGCAAUUCCUGACUUUGUUCUGGAUUCACCUGUUGGUGUGGCACCAUCUGGUUGCACAGAAGCUUUUGCCAAUUCAAAAAGUUUAUUACCUCCUCCAUAUAUAACCACAGAAAAAGAGAUCAUGUAUGCCUAACUUUAAAUGCAUGCAAAACUUCUGAUGUUCGCUAUGUAUUGCAAAGAUAUUCAGUAGUUUCUAUUCUUUGGGAUAUAAAUUGGAUGUCCCGUGUAAAAUCAGGAAAUUUCUUUUUAGGAUACAAGUAGGCUGAAAGGGCUUACAUGCAGACUCUUAGCUACCACUGUUCAGACUAACAAUGUUCUGAGUUAAAGAUUCCACAAAGUUAUUUAUAGAUUUAGGUUCCUUCUCAAGUGCACCAAUCUAUGCCUGUGGCAGAUAUUUUACCUAUAUAGACUCCUUAUGGUGCCCAUUCAAGUUUCCUGUAGUACUCGUAUUUCUGAAUUGGUACUAUGCAACAUGUGUUGAUUCGCCAGUUAUGAAUUUCAGAGAGAUUUGAACGAUGUUA